CAUGCAAGUCGAACGCUCGUACCAAUACGGGAGUGGCAGACGGGUGAGUAACGCGUGGGAACAUACCCUCCGGUUCGGAAUAACUCAGGGAAACUUGAGCUAAUACCGGAUACGGCUUAGCGGCGAAAGAUUGAUCGCCGGAGGAUUGGCCCGCGUCCGAUUAGCUAGUUGGUGUGGUAACGGCGCACCAAGGCGACGAUCGGUAGCUGGUCUGAGAGGAUGAUCAGCCACAUUGGGACUGAGACACGGCCCAAACUCCUACGGGAGGCAGCAGUGGGGAAUAUUGGACAAUGGGCGCAAGCCUGAUCCAGCCAUGCCGCGUGAGUGAUGACGGCCUUAGGGUUGUAAAGCUCUUUCGCCAGGGACGAUAAUGACGGUACCUGGAUAAGAAGCCCCGGCUAACUUCGUGCCAGCAGCCGCGGUAAUACGAAGGGGGCUAGCGUUGUUCGGAAUUACUGGGCGUAAAGCGCGUGUAGGCGGGUCUUUAAGUCAGGGGUGAAAUGCCAAGGCUCAACCUUGGAACUGCCUUUGAUACUGGAAAUCUUGAGUCCGGGAGAGGUGAGUGGAACUGCGA
rnacentral:rRNA from 1 species